GCGGUUGUGGCUCAGCGGUAGAGCGCUCACCUUGCACGUGUGAGACCCUGGGUUCAAUCCUCAGCACCACA
rnacentral:tRNA from 1 species